rnacentral:rRNA from 1 species
GUCCUAGCCGUAAACGGUGCAUAUUUGCUGUAAAAGGAAUCGACCCCUUUUGUGGCGAAGCUAACGCGAUAAAUAUGCCGCCUGGGAAAUACGGUCGCAAGAUUAAAACUCAAAGAAAUUGACGGGGCCUGCACAAGCGGUGGAGUAUGUGGCUUAAUUCGAUGCAACGCGAAGACCUUACCUGGCCUUGACAUGUGUCUAGUAGAAGGGUGAAAGCCUGACGAGAUAGCAAUAUCAGGAUACACAGGUGCUGCAUGGCUGUCGU